UACGUAGGCAGCAAGCGUUGUUCGGAGUUACUGGGCGUAAAGCGUGCGCAGGCGGUUUUGUAAGUCAGAUGUGAAAUCCCCGGGCUUAACCUGGGACUGCGUUUGAAACUACAAGGCUAGAGUGUGGCAGAGGGGGGUGGAAUUCCACGUGUAGCAGUGAAAUGCGUAGAGAUGUGGAGGAACACCGAUGGCGAAGGCAGCCCCCUGGGUUAACACUGACGCUCAGGCACGAAAGCGUGGGGAGCAAACAGG
rnacentral:rRNA from 1 species